CCGCACCCAUCACACUGCCCCUGUGUUGUGGAGCGGUUUCUACACAACACGCAGCCAGGAAAGCCGGGCCCUCAGGACUUAUCACCGCUUUCUGCCUCGGCUCAGCACGCCGUGUCGCUGAAGAGGCAGAGGGAAGAAAGCGAAACAGCCUCAGAAGCUGCGGUACAACAGGAACCUCCGGGUCACCGGCGACAGAGCUGGGCCGGGCCCUCCCGCCCCCUCAGGUCUCCUCAGGGCGGGAAACGCUCGCGCCGCUAACGCGCCUUCCUAUUGGCGCCCACCCGGCCUCUCCGGCAGUGCCGCGCGCUGCCAUUGGCUCUUGGUGACCGGGGGGUGGGACAAAGGCGGGUUGUUCCGCCUCAGGGCGGCUGGGCCUGCGUGAGCGCGCUGCGCUGGGGGCGCCCGGGGUCUUGGUGACAACUUUACAUUUCUCUCUUCCUGUGGAGAAAGAAGCUUCCAUGGGGAAUGUGUACCUAGGGGUCCAAUUAUGGUGGCUUUCCCUUAACAGGAGAAGCCACAUUGUUUCUGUUAAGGAAGAAGGGAAAGCAACUCAGUUGCUAAUCCACUAAUAUUUUUAGAGUGUCUAGAUGAGCUGCCAAUGUGGCUUAGGUUCACUAAACACUUUUUAAGCUACUGGCAAAGUCAGGUUCUGAUGGUACAGUAUUGGACAACUCUAGUGCUGCUGUUAAUGUUGAUAUAAUUGUAUUAAGCAACAGAAUAAAGCAUCCUGAAUGCAUGUAUGAUAUAUGACUGUAGAGAAAUCACAAAUUAGUGUGCAAGUCCAAAUGGUGGUUUAAUAAAGAUGGUUUUCCUUGAAAAAAA